GCGACCGGUGGACUAUAGAUCGCUCCAAGGAGGAUUAGGGUAAAUCGUAGCACUAUAUAGGGUGUUCAAGGAAUACCAGAAAUCUCUCAACAACGGGCUCUUUAGUGUUUCGUACUUCGCGAACGAGGACGUCUUUCUUAUUAACUCAUUCGUUACAAAUGCCACAUGAAGAAAAUCAGGAGCGACGUCUCGCUUCCGACAUCCAUAAUUCUAUUGUAUAUAAUCGCGAUGCCUGAGCCGGAGCCUUAACGAAAGCGACAAUAAUCUUUAAUCUGGAAACGCGAUAUUUGAGUGUGGCAUAAUCGGAUUUGCAGAAUGUUGACGCGUAUACUGUAAUAAAACAUCGGUGUCUCCGUUAUGGAGUACCAGCGACGACGACGUCUUCAUUCCGCGCGUUAGGAGUGCGAGAAUGCGGCAAAAGGCGAUUCUAUCACUCGGCAGAAGUAGUACGAGCAAAACUCGCGUCAUGAAAAAAACUGAGAAAAAUUGCACGCAAAAUUCGAGCGUCUUGAACGAGCAUUUCUCAAAUAGCAUCAUUUAAUAUUUUUUUCUGAGGUAGUCUGAUUUAAAACGUU